rnacentral:lncRNA from 1 species
CCAAGACCCAGUCGAGAGGAAGCACUGGUGACAUCGCAGUCCCAGGCUUCGACCUACAUGGCCUGUGUCCUCCUGUGGGCAGGAUCCGCACCCUGGCGGCCCGGCGUGCAGGUCUUUGCCCGUGCAGGCUCUGACUUUGUCCUCAAGUUUUUUUUUUGUCCUGCACCUCUGAUAAACGAUGGAAAGCAAACAAUCCAUGUGGAUAAACAGACGUCUUGCCUUAGCCUCAUGGACUGCCAUUUCUUGUGUACCUGUCGUGGCUGGCCAGCAGUAGAAGAAAACUUUAUUUUGCCUGAUGGUUUCAGACGUUGCUUCCAUAGCUGCUUGACCUCGGCAGCUGCCGGCCUGUGGUCAUCUCCCGAGUCCUCCAGAGAACACCCGAGUCACCGUAGUGCUUCGUCAGGAUGUCCCUCUAGCAAAAAGAAAUUCUGGCGGGAGCGGGUUUAACAAUUUUAAUCUAAACGCAGCCGAUACCACACAGUAUUCCGUGCAUAGGUGCCCUUGACUCUCUUCCUCAGAUCCGGGGGGAAGUUGUGAAAUACAGCAAGGAAAUUGUCUUGGGGUUCCCGUUGGAUGUUAAAGCGUUGCCUUUGAAGGUUUCCUUGGAUACUAACAACAAGCCUCUGCUGGCUAGUGAGAAUCCUUGGUCCAUGCAGGCAAGAGCUGCCUUUGAUGAACACGACGUUUAAGACCAUUCCUUACCAGAAGUGGUGGCACACACCUGUAACCCCAGCACCUGGGAGGCUAAGAAGAGAUGCUAGAGAGUUUGAGGCUAACCUGGGCUACCGAGUGAG